rnacentral:rRNA from 1 species
GACGUAGGGCGCGAGCGUUGUCCGGAUUUAUUGGGCGUAAAGAGCUCGUAGGCGGUGUGUCGCGUCGGCCGUGAAAACCUGCAGCUUAACUGUGGGCUUGCGGUCGAUACGGGCAUCACUGGAGUUCGGCAGGGGAGACUGGAAUUCCUGGUGUAGCGGUGAAAUGCGCAGAUAUCAGGAGGAACACCGGUGGCGAAGGCGGGUCUCUGGGCCGAUACUGACGCUGAGGAGCGAAAGUGUGGGGAGCGAACAGG